rnacentral:rRNA from 1 species
GGGGUAGAGCACUGUUUCGGCUAGGGGGUCAUCCCGACUUACCAACCCGAUGCAAACUCCGAAUACCUGUGAGUACUAUCCGGGAGACACACGGUGGGUGCUAACGUCCAUCGUGAAGAGGGAAACAACCCAGACCGCCAGCUAAGGUCCCCAAGUACCAGUUAAGUGGGAAACGAUGUGGGAAGGCUCAGACAGCUAGGAGGUUGGCUUAGAAGCAGCCAUCCUUUAAAGAAAGCGUAA